rnacentral:rRNA from 1 species
UUAACGGUUGUCCGGCUAUUGAAACUGUUAAACCUUGAGUUAGAUAGAGGCGAGUGGAAUUCCAUGUGUAGCGGUAAAAUGCGUAAAUAUAUGGAGGAACCCCAGAGGCGUAGCGGCUCGCUGGGUCUUAACUGACGCUGAGGCACGAAAGCGUGGGGAGCAAACAGGAUUAGAUACCCUGGUAGUCCACGCCGUAAACGAUGAGUACUAAGUGUCGGGUUAAACCGGUACUGAAGUUAACACAUUAAGUACUCCGCCUGAGUAGUACGUACGCAAGUAUGAAACUUAAAGGAAUUGACGGGACUCCGCACAAGCGGUGGAUCAUGUUGUUUAAUUCGAAGAUACCCGAAAAACCUUACCAGGUCUUGACAUGUUUUUGCAAAAUGAUAGUAAUAUCGUGGAGGUUACCAGAAACACAGGUGGUGCAUGGUUGUCGUCAGUUCGUGUCGUGAGAUGUUAGGUUAAGUCCUAAAACGAGCGAAACCCUCAUCGUUAGGUUGCCAGCACGUUAUGGUGGGGACUUUAACGAGACUGCCAAUGAUAAAUUGGAGGAAGGUGAGGAUCACGUCAAAUCAGCAUGCCCCUUAUGACCUGGGCUACAAACGUGAUACAAUGGCUGUUAAAGGGUAGCUGAAACGCAAGUUCUUGGCCAAUCCCCAAAAACAGUCCCAGUCCGGAUUGAAGUCUGCAACUCGACUUCAUGAAGUUGGAAUCGCUAGUAAUCGCGAAUCAGCAUGUCGCGGUGAAUACGUUCUCGGGGUUUGUACACACCGCCCGUCAAACCACGAAAGUUGGCAAUACCCCAAAACGGUAGCCUAACUCGUUUAUUCGAGAGGGCGCCGUCUAAGGUAGGGUCGAUGAUUGGGGUUAAGUCGUAACAAGGUAUCCCUACCGGAAGGUGGGGAUGGAU